AAAAAUCAAGCCCUCAGCACGUAUGAAAAGGAAUGCCUUGCUAUUUUGAUGGCAGCGGACAAGUGGCGUCCCUAUCUUCAGCACCAAUAAUUCCUCAUCCGAACAGAUAAAAAAGCCUUACUACAUCUGACUGAACAAAGGCUGACUACACGCAUUCAGCACAAGGCCUUCGUUAAAUUAAUGGGACUCACCGAUAUGUCUCCAACGUAUCUAUAA
rnacentral:rRNA from 1 species